GGAUGUGAGGCUGGUCUGGCUGCAACAUGUUGCCCCACUGAUCGCCAGGGUUGAUCCGGCUGACGUGGCUGGCUAGGUGGGUGUCCCCUUCCUCCCUCACUGCUCCACGUGUGUCCCUCCUGAAGCUGUGCCCUCAGUUGAAGAGGACGACCAUCCCUGAUAGGGGUCCUGGGAGCUGUUGAGCCCUGUGGCCCGUAUGGACGCAAGACAAGAAAAGUAGUCUAGAAUAGUGAUCCUCUUGUCCCA
rnacentral:sRNA from 1 species